UUUCUACUCCCUCCGUCCGAAAAUACUUGUCAUCAAAAUAGAUAAAAAGAGAUGUAUCUAAAACUAAAAUACGUCUAGAUACAUUUCCUUUUAUCCAUUUUGAUGACAAGUAUUUCCGGACGGAGGGAGUAUUUG
rfam:Triticum aestivum genome assembly, contig: Triticum_aestivum_CS42_TGACv1_scaffold_645343_T_6BS-0.084145_1AL-0.083242